rnacentral:rRNA from 2 species
UGGGGAAUAUUGCACAAUGGGCGAAAGCCUGAUGCAGCGACGCCGCGUGAGGGAUGACGGCCUUCGGGUUGUAAACCUCUUUCAGCAGGGAAGAAGCUUUCGGGUGACGGUACCUGCAGAAGAAGCACCGGCUAACUACGUGCCAGCAGCCGCGGUAAUACGUAGGGUGCGAGCGUUGUCCGGAAUUAUUGGGCGUAAAGAGCUCGUAGGCGGCUUGUCACGUCGGUUGUGAAAGCCCGGGGCUUAACCCCGGGUCUGCAGUCGAUACGGGCAGGCUAGAGUUCGGUAGGGGAGAUCGGAAUUCCUGGUGUAGCGGUGAAAUGCGCAGAUAUCAGGAGGAACACCGGUGGCGAAGGCGGAUCUCUGGGCCGAUACUGACGCUGAGGAGCGAAAGCGUGGGGAGCGAACAGG